rnacentral:rRNA from 1 species
CGGAUUGAAGGCUGAAAUUCGCCUUCAUGAAGCCGGAAUUGCUAGUAAUGGCAGGUCAGCAUGCCGCGGUGAAUACGUUCCCGGGCCUUGUACACACCGCCCGUCACACCAUGGGAGCCGGUAAUACCCGAAGUCAGUAGUCCAACCUCGUGAGGACGCUGCCGAAGGUAGGAUUGGCGACUGGGGUGAAGUCGUAACAAGGUAGC